CGAAAGCCUGACGGAGCAAUACCGCGUGAGGGAAGAAGGCUCUUGGGUUGUAAACCUCUUUUCUUAGGGAAGAAAAAAUGACGGUACCUAAGGAAUAAGCAUCGGCUAACUCCGUGCCAGCAGCCGCGGUAAUACGGAGGAUGCAAGCGUUAUCCGGAAUGAUUGGGCGUAAAGCGUCCGCAGGUGGUUUAUCAAGUUUGCGGUUAAAGGUUCUGGCUCAACCAGAGACAGGCCGUGAAAACUGAUAGACUAGAGUAUGGUAGGGGCAGAGGGAAUUCCCAGUGUAGCGGUGAAAUGCGUAGAGAUUGGGAAGAACACCGGUGGCGAAAGCGCUCUGCUAGGCCAAAACUGACACUGAGGGACGAAAGCU
rnacentral:rRNA from 1 species